GAUGAACGCUGGCGGCGUGCCUAAUACAUGCAAGUCGAGCGAACAGACGAUGAGCUUGCACCUCUGACGUUAGCGGCGGACGGGUGAGUAACACGUGGAUAACCUACCUAUAAGACUGGGAUAACUUCGGGAAACCGGAGCUAAUACCGGAUAAUAUAUUGAACCGCAUGGUUCAAUAGUGAAAGACGGUUUUGCUGUCACUUAUAGAUGGAUCCGCGCCGCAUUAGCUAGUUGGUAAGGUAACGGCUUACCAAGGCAACGAUGCGUAGCCGACCUGAGAGGGUGAUCGGCCACACUGGAACUGAGACACGGUCCAGACUCCUACGGGAGGCAGCAGUAGGGAAUCUUCCGCAAUGGGCGAAAGCCUGACGGAGCAACGCCGCGUGAAUGAUGAAGGUCUUCGGAUCGUAAAACUCUGUUAUUAGGGAAGAACAAAUGUGUAAGUAACUAUGCACGUCUUGACGGUACCUAAUCAGAAAGCAACGGCUAACUACGUG
rnacentral:rRNA from 1 species